rnacentral:rRNA from 1 species
GGACUGUAACUGACGUUGAGGCUCGAAAGUGUGGGUAGCAAACAGGAUUAGAUACCCUGGUAGUCCACACCGUAAACGAUGAGUGCUAGGUGUUUGAGGGUUUCCGCCCUUAAGUGCCGCAGCUAACGCAUUAAGCACUCCGCCUGGGGAGUACGACCGCAAGGUUGAAACUCAAAGGAAUUGACGGGGGCCCGCACAAGCGGUGGAGCAUGUGGUUUAAUUCGAAGCAACGCGAAGAACCUUACCAGGUCUUGACAUCCCUUGACAACUCCAGAGAUGGAGCGUUCCCUUCGGGGACAAGGUGACAGGUGGUGCAUGGUUGUCGUCAGCUCGUGUCGUGAGAUGUUGGGUUAAGUCCCGCAACGAGCGCAACCCUUAUUACUAGUUGCCAGCAUUCAGUUGGGCACUCUAGUGAGACUGCCGGUGACAAACCGGAGGAAGGUGGGGAUGACGUCAAAUCAUCAUGCCCCUUAUGACCUGGGCUACACACGUGCUACAAUGGCGUAUACAACGAGUUGCCAACCCGCGAGGGUGAGCUAAUCUCUUAAAGUACGUCUCAGUUCGGAUUGUAGGCUGCAACUCGCCUACAUGAAGUCGGAAUCGCUAGUAAUC